AACGAACGCUGGCGGCAUGCCUAACACAUGCAAGUCGAACGAGACCUUCGGGUCUAGUGGCGCACGGGUGCGUAACGCGUGGGAAUCUGCCCUGGGGUGCGGAAUAACUCGGAGAAAUCCGUGCUAAUACCGCAUAAUGUCUUCGGACCAAAGAUUUAUCGCCCUGGGAUGAGCCCGCGUAGGAUUAGCUAGUUGGUGGGUAAAGGCCUACCAAGGCGACGAUCCUUAGCUGGUCUGAGAGGAUGAUCAGCCACACUGGGACUGAGACACGGCCCAGACUCCUACGGGAGGCAGCAGUGGGAAUAUUGGACAAUGGGCGAAAGCCUGAUCCAGCAAUGCCGCGUGAGUGAUGAAGGCCCUAGGGUUGUAAAGCUCUUUUACCCGGGAUGAUAAUGACAGUACCGGGAGAAUAAGCUCCGGCUAACUCCGUGCCAGCAGCCGCGGUAAU
rnacentral:rRNA from 1 species